rnacentral:snRNA from 11 species
UGGGUUGACCCCUGCGAGUAUUCCAAAUGUGAAUACCUCGGGCGCGUAAUUUUUGGUAGCGGGGAUUGCGUACGCGCAUAUCCCUA